GACGAACGCUGGCGGCGUGCCUAAUACAUGCAAGUCGAACGCUGAAGGAGGAGCUUGCUUCUCUGGAUGAGUUGCGAACGGGUGAGUAACGCGUAGGUAACCUGCCUUUUAGCGGGGGAUAACUAUUGGAAACGAUAGCUAAUACCGCAUAAUAGUAGAUGUUGCAUGACAUUUGCUUAAAAGUUUCAAUUGCAUCACUACGAGAUGGACCUGCGUUGUAUUAGCUAGUGGGUGGGGUAAAGGCUCACCAAGGCGACGAUACAUAGCCGACCUGAGAGGGUGAUCGGCCAGACUGGGACUGAGACACGGCCCAGACUCCUACGGGAGGCAGCAGUAGGGAAUCUUCGGCAAUGGACGGAAGUCUGACCGAGCAACGCCGCGGGAGUGUAGAAGGUUUUCGGAUCGUAAAGCUCUGUUGUCAGAGAAGAACGAGUGUGAGAGUGGAAAGUUCACACUGUGACGGUAUCUUACCAGAAAGGGACGGCUAACUACGUG
rnacentral:rRNA from 1 species